rnacentral:misc_RNA from 1 species
UCUCCGUAGGUGAACCUGCGGAAGGAUCAUUCAUAAUAAAGUGUUUUAUGGCACUUUUUAAAAAUCCAUAUCCACCUUGUGUGCAAUGUUAGAUCUCGUCAAUCUUGGCUAGAUUUUUAUACAUCAACUCAUUCUUUAACUAAUUUGUCUGAAAAAUAUUAUGAAUACUUAAUUCAAAAUACAACUUUCAACAACGGAUCUCUUGGCUCUC